GAUUUUCCCCUCUUUCCUUAAUCGGCUUUUUUUUUCAUAAUAUCAUGAUCACUUUGAUGCUGUCAACUCAAACAAGAUGGACAAAGAAAGCCGAUUAAGGAAAGAGGGGAAAAUCAAACUAACUCUAGUUACAAAAAUAAAAGAAAACAAUAUACCUCACACCCAACAUGUAUGUAUGCACCUGUUCUUGGUACAACAACCAGACGCCUUAAGCAAUAUACAGAGACCAAGCGAAGGAAAAGCCAAAAGAACUAGAACAGGAGAAAAUCUGUACAACUCUCCUAUUCAUUAAGCCUUCACUGCCAGGGUUUGCAGGUGAUCUAUAAAAUCUUGCAAGCUCAAAUCAUCAGUGAGUAUGAUUUCUGAUCCUUCUGUGUAUGUUGAGUUCUGAGUAACAGAUGGAUUCAACUUAGCAAGAAGAAACCUAGCCUGACUACUGUGUUGGUCACAUUUUAUCAAUUUAGGCGCAGGAACUCGUUCUGCCACCAAUUGCUCUGCAUCAAUUUCAGGAGCUUCCAACAGCUUUCUCAAAUUCUCAUGGUUUGGAUCUUUGUGAUAGCCAAGUUUCCUCCACUGAACAAUUUUGGACCCAUAAUGAAUCACUACAUGGAAGUAAGAAUCAAAGAGUAAAAUAACAUCAGGUAAGAUGGAUUGAACAUCUAGGAGGACUGGAAUUGGGGGACCAUUGAAAGAAUACUGAAAAAGUGUAGGUUGUAUCAUGACAAGAGAACCCACANNNNNNNNGUUCAACAUCAGGUGGAAAAAUGCAGUUUCAUCAGGAGUACUAUUGAAAACAUCUAUAAAUUGGGACCUCCUCAAAUAAUACAUGAACUGGGGGUAAAGAGAGAAGUUUGUUGACAAGCGGAAGGUAGAUGGAUCUUCCUCGAUAUAAUCUCCAAACUUGGAAGCAAAACAGAUAAGGUUGUCAUCCAGCCAUCUGACAACAUCUCGAGCAUAGCAUGUUUCUGUCCGGUGAAUUGCAAGUCUGGCCAUGACUGAAGCUGCUGCUUCCUGAUCAAAACCGGAAGUGAUUUCUGCAGACUUGUUUCCAACCCAUCUUCUUGCAGCUGUGGUAACCCUUUUCCGGAUUCCCAUGUUUCCAUGUCGGUAACGCGUUAUAAACUGUAUAAAGAAGGCAGACCCUGGAUGGGCCUUCUGUUCAUCACCCACUUCAAAGAAGAAAGUUAUGCAUGUUUUAUUAGUUAGUGUGCCCAACUUCCACGCAAAAGUGCCACCCUCCCCAGUCUCACGGUCGCUCACUAAACCAUUUUUUUUCCGAAGAGAAACACAAGGCCCAAGUGCUCCACAGAUUUUUACAUCUUUUGUGGUGAUCACCUCAAUAGUAGCAUCAAAAUACAUCUUCAAACUCCCCUCUUCAUCACGACCAAAAAUAUGCCGCAAGCACUUUCUGAAUUGAUCUGACUCAAAUAAAUCUCCUAACAUCAUGAAUCCACCAGACCUCUCAACAGGAGCUUUUAGCUCUGCUGCUCCUACUUGAUCAAGGGAACAAGCAAAUAAAUCAAGAACAACAGAUGCAUCAGAUAAUCUUUGAGACAACCGACUAUAGAAGCUGCAAGAUUUUCUAUGGUAAGAAGUAUGACCAUUGAUGAGGUCUCUAUGAGUUCUGAUGGCA
rnacentral:misc_RNA from 1 species